UGCAGACAAAAAUGUUGUCCAAAAAAAGGAAAAACAUAUGUGGGAUAGCUCUGCCAAGACAUGUUCUGCUUCCUCAAGAGCUGUGUCCCCAGAUGAACAGUGGAUCACAUACUCAGAUUAAAAAACAGAAGUCUGAACCUCAUGUGAAAUGUACACACUUGCCUGUUCCAUUGGAGAUUUCAUUUUCUGGGCAGAGACUGCAAUCAAAACAACAUAGAGCCUUGCCAUCCUGAAGAGAUUUUCUGAAUCCAGGUCCACAACUUUCACUGCAUACAGACAUGGGAGUCUGACAAAAUAAGAGA